rnacentral:rRNA from 1 species
CCCUUAGAUGUUCUGGGCCGCACGCGCGCUACACUGAUGCAUUCAACGAGUCUAAAACCUGCUCUGAUAGGGGUGGGUAAUCUUUUGAAUGUGCAUCGUGAUUGGGAUAGAUGAUUGAAAUUUUUCAUCUUCAACGAGGAAUGCCUAGUAAACGCAAGUCAUCAGCUUGCAUUGAUUACGUCCCUGCCCUUUGUACACACCGCCCGUCGCUCCUACCGAUUGAAUGAUCCGAUGAAUAUCAUGGAUUGAGGAUGCAAGUAGGUUCACCUAUCUUCAUCUUCGAGAAGUGAAGUAAAUCUUAUCGUUUAGAGGAAGGAGAAGUCGUAACA